ensembl:snoRNA
CACCCCUGGCAAUGGGCAAAGAGAUACCUUGUUGGUGGUGAUGUUCUUAUAUCAGUCAGGGGCAGAGCAGAUGGCAGUCCUCUGUUCAUCCUAGCUUGAUGCCUGGCUUGGUGGCCAAAGAUGUUUAAUGCCUAGGACGCAUAA